rnacentral:tRNA from 1 species
GGAUUAUGGCUCAGCGGUAGAGCACUCGCUUAGCAUGUGCGGGACUCUGAGUUCGAUCCUCAGCACCA